rnacentral:rRNA from 1 species
GUACUGAGACACGGACCAGACUCCUACGGGAGGCAGCAGUGAGGAAUAUUAGACAAUGGGCGAAAGCCUGAUCUAGCCAUGCCGCGUGCAGGAUGACGGCCCUAUGGGUUGUAAACUGCUUUUAUACAGGAAGAAAAAACUCUACGUGUAGAGUCUUGACGGUACUGUAAGAAUAAGGAUCGGCUAACUCCGUGCCAGCAGCCGCGGUAAUACGGAGGAUCCAAGCGUUAUCCGGAAUUAUUGGGUUUAAAGGGUCCG